GACGAACGCUGGCGGCGUGCUUAACACAUGCAAGUCGAACGGAAAGGCCCUGCGUUUGUGGGGUGCUCGAGUGGCGAACGGGUGAGUAACACGUGAGUAACCUGCCCUUGACUUUGGGAUAACUUCAGGAAACUGGGGCUAAUACCGGAUAGGAGCUCCUGCUGCAUGGUGGGGGUUGGAAAGUUUCGGCGGUUGGGGAUGGACUCGCGGCUUAUCAGCUUGUUGGUGGGGGAGUGGCUUACCAAGGCGUUGACGGGUAGCCGGCCUGAGAGGGUGACCGGCCACCUUGGGACUGUGAUACGGCCCAGACUCCUACGGGAGGCAGCAGUGGGGAAUCUUGCACAAUGGGCGGACGCCUGAUGCAGCAACGCCGCGUGCGGGAUGACGGCCUUCGGGUUGUAAACCGCUUUCGCCUGUGACGAAGCGCGAGUGACGGUAAUGGGUAAAGAAGCACCGGCUAACUACGUG
rnacentral:rRNA from 1 species